rnacentral:misc_RNA from 1 species
GAUGAAGAACGUAGCGAAAUGCGAUAAGUAAUGCGAAUUGCAGAAUCCGUGAGUCAUCGAAUCUUUGAACGCACAUUGCGCCCCUUGGUUAUUCCGAAGGGCAUGCCUGUUCGAGCGUCAUUAUCACCCCUCAAGCCCUGGCUUGGUGUUGGACUUUAGUUAUAGCUUUGCCUAUCAACUGGUCUCAAAGAUAGUGACGGCGCCCCAGAGGGAACCGGGUACGAGGAGCUUUUUACUAAGCAUGUAUCUGGGACGACUCUGGGCGACGGUCUUGUUAUACUUUUUACCUAAGUGUUGACCUCGGAUCAGGUAGGAAUACCCGCUGAACUUAAGCAUAUCAUAAGCGGAGGA